AACGCGAAGAACCUUACCUGGGCUCGAAAUGUAGUGGACUGGGGUAGAAAUAUCCCUUUCUCGCAAGAGACUGCUAUAUAGGUGCUGCAUGGCUGUCGUCAGCUCGUGUCGUGAGAUGUUGGGUUAAGUCCCGCAACGAGCGCAACCCUUAUCCCUAGUUGCCAUCGGGUCAAGCCGGGCACUCUAGUGAAACCGCCCCGGAUAACGGGGAGGAAGGUGGGGAUGACGUCAAGUCCUCAUGGCCUUUAUGUCCAGGGCUACACACGUGCUACAAUGGACGGUACAAAGGGCUGCCAACCCGCAAGGGGGAGCCAAUCCCAAAAAACCGUUCUCAGUUCGGAUUGCAGGCUGCAACUCGCCUGCAUGAAGCUGGAAUCGCUAGUAAUGGUGGAUCAGCAUGCCACCGUGAAUACGUUCCCGGGCCUUGUACACACCGCGCAUA
rnacentral:rRNA from 1 species